rnacentral:rRNA from 1 species
AACGAACGCUGGCGGCAUGCCUAACACAUGCAAGUCGAACGAGACCUUCGGGUCUAGUGUCGCACGGGUGCGUAACGCGUGGGAACCUGCCUUUAGGUUCGCAAUAACUAAGAGCAAUUUGAGCUAAUACCGGAUGUUGUCUUCGGACCUAAGAUUUCUCGGCUUUAGAUGGGCCCGCGUUGGAUUAGAUAGUUGGCUGGGUAACGGCCUACCAAGGCGACGAGCCAUAGCUGGUCUGGGAGGAUGAUCAGGCACACUAGGAGUGAGACACGUCCCAGACUCCCAGGGGUGGCAGCAAGUGGGAAUGUUCGACGAUGGGCGAAAGCCCGAGCCAGCCAUGCCGCGUGAGUGAUGAAUGCCUUAGGGUUGUAUAGCUCUGUUAACCGAGAUGAUAAUGACAGUAUCGGGAGAAUAAGCUCCGGCUAACUCCGUG